rnacentral:rRNA from 1 species
UACAGAGGGGGCAAGCGUUGCUCGGAAUUACUGGGCGUAAAGGGCGCGUAGGCGGGAUGGCAAGUCGGUCGUGAAAUCCUUCGGCUCAACCGAAGAACGUCGAUCGAUACUGCUGUUCUUGAGGGUUGCAGAGGAGACUGGAAUUCCCGGUGUAGCGGUGAAAUGUGUAGAGAUCGGGAGGAACACCGGUGGCGAAGGCGGGUCUCUGGGCAGUAGCUGACGCUGAUGCGCGACAGCGUGGGGAGCAAACAGG